rnacentral:rRNA from 1 species
UACGGAGGGUGCGAGCGUUGUCCGGAAUCACUGGGCGUAAAGGGCGCGUAGGCGGCGCGGGCAGUCAACGGUGAAAGCUCAGGCUCAACUCUGAGUCGGCCGUCGAUACUCCCGCGCUCGAGCUCACUAGAGGCAGAUGGAAUUCCGGGUGUAGCGGUGGAAUGCGUAGAGAUCCGGAAGAACACCGGUGGCGAAGGCGGUCUGCUGGGGUGAGGCUGACGCUGAGGCGCGACAGCGUGGGGAGCGAACAGG